rnacentral:rRNA from 1 species
AGAGUUUGAUCCUGGCUCAGGACGAACGCUGGCGGCGUGCUUAACACAUGCAAGUCGAACGAUGAUGCCCAGCUUGCUGGGUGGAUUAGUGGCGAACGGGUGAGUAACACGUGAGUAACCUGCCCCUGACUCUGGGAUAAGCGUUGGAAACGACGUCUAAUACUGGAUAUGACAACUGAUCGCAUGGUCUGGUUGUGGAAAGAUUUUUUGGUUGGGGAUGGACUCGCGGCCUAUCAGCUUGUUGGUGAGGUAAUGGCUCACCAAGGCGACGACGGGUAGCCGGCCUGAGAGGGUGACCGGCCACACUGGGACUGAGACACGGCCCAGACUCCUACGGGAGGCAGCAGUGGGGAAUAUUGCACAAUGGGCGCAAGCCUGAUGCAGCAACGCCGCGUGAGGGAUGACGGCCUUCGGGUUGUAAACCUCUUUUAGUAGGGAAGAAGCGAAAGUGACGGUACCUGCAGAAAAAGCACCGGCUAACUACGUGCCAGCAGCCGCGGUAAUACGUAGGGUGCAAGCGUUGUCCGGAAUUAUUGGGCGUAAAGAGCUCGUAGGCGGUUUGUCGCGUCUGCUGUGAAAUCCCGAGGCUCAACCUCGGGCUUGCAGUGGGUACGGGCAGACUAGAGUGCGGUAGGGGAGAUUGGAAUUCCUGGUGUAGCGGUGGAAUGCGCAGAUAUCAGGAGGAACACCGAUGGCGAAGGCAGAUCUCUGGGCCGUAACUGACGCUGAGGAGCGAAAGCGUGGGGAGCGAACAGGAUUAGAUACCCUGGUAGUCCAUGCCGUAAACGUUGGGCGCUAGAUGUAGGGACCUUUCCACGGUUUCUGUGUCGUAGCUAACGCAUUAAGCGCCCCGCCUGGGGAGUACGGCCGCAAGGCUAAAACUCAAAGGAAUUGACGGGGGCCCGCACAAGCGGCGGAGCAUGCGGAUUAAUUCGAUGCAACGCGAAGAACCUUACCAAGGCUUGACAUACACCGGAAACGGCCAGAGAUGGUCGCCCCCUUGUGGUCGGUGUACAGGUGGUGCAUGGUUGUCGUCAGCUCGUGUCGUGAGAUGUUGGGUUAAGUCCCGCAACGAGCGCAACCCUCGUUCUAUGUUGCCAGCGGGUUAUGCCGGGGACUCAUAGGAGACUGCCGGGGUCAACUCGGAGGAAGGUGGGGAUGACGUCAAAUCAUCAUGCCCCUUAUGUCUUGGGCUUCACGCAUGCUACAAUGGCCGGUACAAAGGGCUGCGAUACCGUAAGGUGGAGCGAAUCCCAAAAAGCCGGUCUCAGUUCGGAUUGAGGUCUGCAACUCGACCUCAUGAAGUCGGAGUCGCUAGUAAUCGCAGAUCAGCAACGCUGCGGUGAAUACGUUCCCGGGCCUUGUACACACCGCCCGUCAAGUCAUGAAAGUCGGUAACACCCGAAGCCGGUGGCCUAACCCUUGUGGAAGGAGCCGUCGAAGGUGGGAUCGGUGAUUAGGACUAAGUCGUAACAAGGUAGCC